UACGUAGGGUGCAAGCGUUGUCCGGAAUUAUUGGGCGUAAAGAGCUCGUAGGCGGCUUGUCACGUCGGGUGUGAAAGCCCGGGGCUUAACCCCGGGUCUGCAUUCGAUACGGGCAGGCUAGAGUGUGGUAGGGGAGGAUCGGAAUUCCUGGUGUAGCGGUGAAAUGCGCAGAUAUCAGGAGGAGCACCGGUGGCGAAGGCGGAUCUCUGGGCCGUAACUGACGCUGAGGAGCGAAAGCAUGGGGAGCGAACAGG
rnacentral:rRNA from 1 species